rnacentral:lncRNA from 1 species
UGAAAUCUGAUUAUUGUAUAUUAAAACCUCGAUUACGAUAUCUACGGAGUUAUACACAAAAAAAGUAGAUGGAAUUAUGGGAAAGGCACAAGCGUAAAUAUUGAGUCAUAGCUUGCCUUCUUUUGUACUUUCACAGAGCCGUUACCAACUUCUCAAAGGAAAAAAAAAAAAAACAAAUAUAAAAAAGGGAAUGUAUAUGGAUUUUGGUGGGUGUGCUCAGCUCUGGCAAUUCUUACUCUGUAACUAUAAAUUCAACGACUAACUUUACGCUCUCUCGGAAUAAUCACUGUACUGCUUUUGCUUGUUUGUCUAAUCCCAUUCACGCAGAAGAACCUCAGUUCUCUUCUCUUUCUUUCCACCUUUCUCCGGUGGCAAUGAGGACACCGCGGCCCCCGCCGAUGAUGGAAUUCCGGCUGCUUGUCUCCUUGUUCCAGG